rnacentral:rRNA from 1 species
UGGGGAAUAUUGCACAAUGGGCGCAAGCCUGAUGCAGCCAUGCCGCGUGUAUGAAGAAGGCCUUCGGGUUGUAAAGUACUUUCAGCGGGGAGGAAGGUGUUGUGGUUAAUAACCUCAGCAAUUGACGUUACCCGCAGAAGAAGCACCGGCUAACUCCGUGCCAGCAGCCGCGGUAAUACGGAGGGUGCAAGCGGUAAUCGGAAUUAGUGGGCGUAAAGCGCACGCAGGCGGUCUGUCAAGUCGGAUGUGAAAUCCCCGGGCUCAACCUGGGAACUGCAUCCGAAACUGGCAGGCUUGAGUCUUGUAGAGGGGGGUAGAAUUCCAGGUGUAGCGGUGAAAUGCGUAGAGAUCUGGAGGAAUACCGGUGGCGAAGGCGGCCCCCUGGACAAAGACUGACGCUCAGGUGCGAAAGCGUGGGGAGCAAACA